rnacentral:rRNA from 2 species
GAUUUAAUUUUGAACGAGUGGCGGACGGGUGAGUAACACGUGGGUAACCUGCCCUUAAGUGGGGGAUAACAUUUGGAAACAGAUGCUAAUACCGCAUAAAUCCAAGAACCGCAUGGUUCUUGGCUGAAAGAUGGCGUAAGCUAUCGCUUUUGGAUGGACCCGCGGCGUAUUAGCUAGUUGGUGAGGUAACGGAUUCACCAAGGCAAUGAUACGUAGCCGAACUGAGAGGUUGAUCGGCCACAUUGGGACUGAGACACGGCCCAAACUCCUACGGGAGGCAGCAGUAGGGAAUCUUCCACAAUGGACGCAAGUCUGAUGGAGCAACGCCGCGUGAGUGAAGAAGGCUUUCGGGUCGUAAAACUCUGUUGUUCCUAGAAGAAUGGUCGGCAGAGUAACUGUUGUCGGCGUGACGGUAUCCAACCAGAAAGCCACGGCUAACUACGUGCCAGCAGCCGCGGUAAUACGUAGGUGGCAAGCGUUAUCCGGAUUUAUUGGACGUAAAGCGAGCGCAGGCGGUUUUUUAAGUCUGAUGUGAAAGCACUCGGCUUAACCGAGGAAGUGCAUCGGAAACUGGGAAACUUGCGUGCAGUUGAGGACAGUGGAACUCCAUGUGUAGCGGUGAAAUGCGUAGAUAUAUGGAAGAACACCAGUGGCGAAGGCGGCUGUCUGCGCUGUAACUGACGCUGAGGAUCG